UACGUAGGUGGCAAGCGUUGUCCGGAAUUAUUGGGCGUAAAGCGCGCGCAGGCGGUCCUUUAAGUCUGAUGUGAAAGCCCACGGCUCAACCGUGGAGGGUCAUUGGAAACUGGGGGACUUGAGUGCAGAAGAGGAAAGCGGAAUUCCACGUGUAGCGGUGAAAUGCGUAGAGAUGUGGAGGAACACCAGUGGCGAAGGCGGCUUUCUGGUCCAAUACUGACGCUCAGGUGCGAAAGCGUGGGGAGUAAACAGG
rnacentral:rRNA from 1 species